rnacentral:lncRNA from 1 species
UUUGUGUCUAGCUCAGGGAUUGUAAGCGCACCAAUCAGCACCCUGUCAAAACGGACCAAUCAGCUCUGUGUGAAACAGACCAAUCGGCUUUCUGUAAAAUGGACCAAUCAGCAGGAUGUGGGUGGGGCCAGGUAAGAGAAUAAAAGCAGGCUGCCUGAGCUAGCAGCGGCAAUGUGUUGGGGUCGCUUUCUACACCGUGGACACUUUGCUCAUUUGCUCUUUGCAAUGAAUCUUGCUACUGCUCACUCUUUGGGUCAACACUGCCUUUUUGAGCUAUAACAGCGACUGCAAAGAUCUGCAGCUUCACUCCUGAAGCUAGCGAGACCGCAAACCUACCGGGAGGAACGAACAACUCCAGACGUGCUGCCUUAAGAGCCCGUAACACUCACCGCUAAGGUCUGCAGCUUCACUCCUGAGCCAGCGAGACCACAAACCCACCAGAAGGAAUAAACUCUGAACACAUCCGAAUGUCAGGAGAAACAAACUCCAGACACGCCGCCUUUAAGAACUGUAACACUCACUGCGAGGGUCCGCGGCUUCAUUCUUGAAGUCAGUGAGACCAAGAACCCACCAAUUCGGGACACAAUAUGAAAGGAAGACUAACGUUUGCACUCCACCUAACCUACUACUUGGAGCAUGUUUGCUGAGGAUAAUGGCCUCCAGCUCCAUUCAUGUUCCUGCAAAAGACAUGAUCUUGUUCUUUUUUAGGUCUGCAUACUAUUCCACAGUGUGUAUGUACCACUUUUUUUUUUUUUUCUUUUCCCCGGGUCACAGAACCAAUUCAUUCACCCGGCGGCACCACUGCUGUCAUUUCAGCUUCUGGCCACUGGGAGGCGCUGCUCGAAAGGGUUUGCCCUGAGACUCCGAGAAGAAGCUGCGGGAAGGACAGCAGGGGUCCUG